rnacentral:rRNA from 1 species
AGUCGAGGGGCAGCAUGAUUUGUAGCAAUACAGAUUGAUGGCGACCGGCGCACGGGUGAGUAACGCGUAUGCAACUUACCUAUCAGAGGGGGAUAGCCCGGCGAAAGUCGGAUUAAUACCCCAUAAAACAGGGGUCCCGCAUGGGAAUAUUUGUUAAAGAUUCAUCGCUGAUAGAUAGGCAUGCGUUCCAUUAGGCAGUUGGCGGGGUAACGGCCCACCAAACCGACGAUGGAUAGGGGUUCUGAGGGGAAGGUCCCCCACAUUGGUACUGAGACACGGACCAAACUCCUACGGGAGGCAGCAGUGAGGAAUAUUGGUCAAUGGCCGAGAGGCUGAACCAGCCAAGUCGCGUGAAGGAAGAAGGAUCUAUGGUUUGUAAACUUCUUUUAUAGGGGAAUAAAGUGGAGGACGUGUCCUUUUUUGUAUGUACCCUAUGAAUAAGCAUCGGCUAACUCCGUGCCAGCAGCCGCGGUAAUACGGAGGAUGCGAGCGUUAUCCGGAUUUAUUGGGUUUAAAGGGUGCGUAGGUGGUGAUUUAAGUCAGCGGUGAAAGUUUGUGGCUCAACCAUAAAAUUGCCGUUGAAACUGGGUUACUUGAGUGUGUUUGAGGUAGGCGGAAUGCGUGGUGUAGCGGUGAAAUGCAUAGAUAUCACGCAGAACUCCGAUUGCGAAGGCAGCUUACUAAACCAUAACUGACACUGAAGCACGAAAGCGUGGGGAUCAAACAGGAUUAGAUACCCUGGUAGUCCACGCAGUAAACGAUGAUUACUAGGAGUUUGCGAUACAAUGUAAGCUCUACAGCGAAAGCGUUAAGUAA